CUUCUUCAAUCUGCUGCGGGCAAAUGAAGUGGAUGUGCGAGUCGAUGCCGCCGGCGGUGACGAUCAUGCCUUCGCAGCUGAUGAUCUCGGUACCGGGGCCAAUGAUCAUGUCCACGCCGGGUUGGGUGUCGGGGUUGCCGGCCUUGCCAAUGACGGCGAUGCGGCCGCCUUUGAGGCCGAUAUCGGCCUUGACGAUGCCCCAGUGGUCCAUGAUGAGGGCGUUGGUCAUCACCGUGUCCAUCGCCCCUUCGGCGCGGGUUUUUUGCGACUGCGCCAUGCCGUCGCGAAUG
rfam:Polaromonas sp. JS666, complete genome.